UACGGGGGGGGCAAGCGUUGUUCGGAAUUACUGGGCGUAAAGGGCUCGUAGGCGGCCAACUAAGUCAGACGUGAAAUCCCCAGGCUUAACCUGGGAACUGCGUCUGAUACUGGUUGGCUUGAAUUCGGGAGAGGGAUGCAGAAUUCCAGGUGUAGCGGUGAAAUGCGUAGAUAUCUGGAGGAAUACCGGUGGCGAAGGCGGCAUCCUGGACCGAGAUUGACACUGAGGAGCGAAAGCCAGGGGAGCAAACGGG
rnacentral:rRNA from 1 species